CGAUGAGGCGGCCGGGCGGCAGCGGGGCGGGGCGGCCCCGGGGCUCCGAGCGCCGCCUCAGCUUCUGCGACUCCCCUUGUCCCCCCUUGGAAUCGUGCCGAGGGAUCUGGAGACGUCCUAGAGAGGUCUGGGGCAUCCAGGGGGUUCUGGACUCAUGCAGAAGAGUCUGGAGAUGUCCAAGGAGGAUCCAGGGAGUCCCCAGGUAGGUCCUGUGGGCCCCUGGAAGGGUCUGGCAGCUCCCACGAUGGGCCCAGGAGCUCUGAGGAGUCUCUGGGCUGAUCUGGAGAUGUCCCAGUAGAGUCUGCGAGGGUCCAGGGAGCCCUCGUGUGGGUCUGAGUGGUCAUCCAGAAGGGUCUGGGGAUGGCCCAGAAAGGACUGGGAGGGUCUGGGGGUCUUUAGGUGGGUUCAGAGGAUCUUGUUGUCUUCUGGAAGGGUCUGAAGAUGUCCCAGGAGUGUCUUGGGGUGUCCAGGGGGUGCUCAUGUGGGUCUGUGGGGUCCUGGAGCCAUCCAGAAGGGUCUGGGGAUGUCCCAGAGAGGACUGGGAAGGUCCGGGUUGUCCUUAGGUGGGCUCAGAGUGUCCUGUUGUCUUCUGGAAGGGUCUGAAGAUGUCCCAGAAGUGUCUUGGGGUGCCCAGGGGGUGCUCAUGUGGGUCUGGGGGGUCCUGGAGCCAUCCAGAAGGGUCUGGGGGUGUCCCAGAAAGGCCUUGUAGGGUCCAGAGAGUCCUCCUGUUGAUCCAUGGGGGUCCGCAGAUUCAUCCAGAAGGGUCUGGAGAUGUACCAAGAAGGAUCGUGUAGGGUCCAGGGGGUCUCCAGGUGUGCCCAGGGCAUCCUUGCAGUCAUCCCGAAGGGUCUGGGGAUGUUUCAGAGAGGACUUGGAGGGUCUGGGCGGUCCUUAGGUGGGUUCUGUUGUCUUCUGGAAGGGUCUGAAGAUGUCCCAGAUGUGUCCUGGGUGUCCAAGGGGUGCUGUCACUGAGCCUCCCGCUGUCCUUUGUCACCCCUCCAGGCCUGCCUGCAGCCGGACCCGGUGACACCGGAGCCCUGUGGCGCUGUCACCAUCCUCCUGUCCCAAGGACGGGAGGUGAACUCUGUGCCACCAGCAGAGGGGACCACGGGUGACAUCAGUGUGGAACAGCCGUGACCGCGGCGGCGUUGUCAUUGGGUGUCACCUUCACGCAAAAGGGACAAAAGGACCCCCCUGGGGGCAUUGCGUCGAAGUUGGGGACACCGUGAGCAGCUUGAGGACUUCCCAGGGGAAGUGGGGGCACCGCGUCACCGUGUCACACCCCAAAGUGGGGACACCCCCACAGUGUCACACCCCAAAGUUGGGGCAAACCCCCACAGUGUCACACCUCAAGUUGGGGACAUCCGGCAGUGUCACAACCCCAAAGUUGGGGACGCCCCCGACAGUGUCACAUCUCAAAGUUGGGACAUCUCUGUGUCCCCCCCACAGUGUCACACCCCAAAGUUGGGGACGCCCCCACAGUGUCAGACCUCAUAGUUGGGGACACCUUUGUGUCACCCCAAUGGUGUCUGACCCCAAAGCUGGGGACACUCCACAGUGUCACACCCCAAAGUUGGAGUCUGUCCCAGAG
rnacentral:lncRNA from 1 species